GGUCGGUACUAUGACAGGAGCCGGAGCCGUAGCAGAAGCCCCAGUGGAGGUCGCAGAAGGAGCUGGUCCCGUAGCAGUAGUAGAAGCAGGAGCCGCAGCCGUAGCCGUAGCCGCAGCUAUGAUAGGUCCGAUAGGCCUCGUGGACGGAUUCCCAGUCACCGGCCAGGCUCAGCUGAUGCCCCCGUCUCUAGAUAUGAGUCUGGGGCUGCUGUGUCUGGUUUUGAUGUUCUACCCAGGGAUAUGUCGCCGGGCAAGGGCAAUGGUUCUGUCCCCAGGAAUGAGCAUGCUAAUCUGCUGCCAGGGCCUGAUACUGGAGCUGAUCCAG
rnacentral:misc_RNA from 1 species